AAAAAACAAAAAAAGGAAGAAAGAUCCCCUCUCUUCUAGCCGUCCCAGCUGAAUCAUAAGAAACGUGAAUGAGGAAACCAUACUGGACAUGUAACCCAGUCAGACCUUCAGAUGGCUUCAGCCACAGCUGCCAUUUGCCUGUAGUUGUAUGAAAGCUCCCAAGCAAGAAUCAUCACCUAAACUCACAGGACCAUUAGAGAUUAUAAAUUGUUGUCUUAAGCCACUAAUUUUAGGGUGAUAACUGGAACAGAAAUGUCGAAUCAAGGUUUUCUAUUUUUCUGGUUCUCCAAGUUCCCAAUCCUCUUUUCCUUUCUGUUUCCCACUUCCUUGCUUUUGAUGAUGCAACUUUUAUGUUUAGAGCUGAAUUUGCAGUUCAUGAUAUUCACAAUUAUCUGAUCUUUACCUAUCUUGGAUUUCUG
rnacentral:lncRNA from 10 species